UAGGGAAUAUUGGGCAAUGGAGGCAACUCUGACCCAGCCAUGCCGCGUGCAGGAAGAAGGCCCUCUGGGUUGUAAACUGCUUUUGGACGGGGACAAAAAGGUCAUGCGUGACAAAUUGAGUGUACCGUCAGAAUAAGCACCGGCUAACUCCGUGCCAGCAGCCGCGGUAAUACGGAGGGUGCAAGCGUUGUCCGGAUUUAUUGGGUUUAAAGGGUGCGUAGGCGGCCAUAUAAGUCAGUGGUGAAACCCUUGGGCUUAACCCAAGGAGUGCCAUUGAUACUGUAUGGCUUGGGUUAUCUCUGGGCGGGCGGAAUGGAUGGUGUAGCGGUGAAAUGCAUAGAUAUCAACCAGAACGCCGACAGCGAAGGCAGCUCGCUGGGGAUAUACCGACGCUGAGGCACGAUAGCGUGGGGAUCAAACAG
rnacentral:rRNA from 1 species